UGGUUUAAAUAUCGGAAUGCCUUGAAACACAUCUUCAAUACUGGACAAGGAGUUAUUAUGGCUCGCAGUGUUUACAGUGACAUUGCUUUCUGCCAUGCCAUGGUGAACAGGAACCUCUUUAAGAAGUCAGUGUACAAGAAGUAUUUGGAGUAUACAAAUAAAGCUUUUAAAUAUCUAUUUACCCCACAUCUUGUCAUUUACUUGGAUGCAACGCCAGCUUACAGCAUGAAAAAGAUCAAAGAAAGAAAUGUGCCUCAUGAAGUCAACAGCCCAAUCUUAACCGAAGACUUUUUGUCAAAAAUAUCUGAGGGUUAUGACAAGAAGAUACUGCCCAAAUUGGAACCUUUAUCUGAAAUAAUGGUUCUUGAUGCUGACAAUCUUCCAGAUUAUGAUUUGCUUGUUGAAGAAAUGGAAAAAAUUGACUUCAACCCAUUCAGAGAUACCUUGCUUAGGGAUGAAAAAUUUGCAGAUUGGAGGCUCACACAUGAAAGGCAAUGGGCUUCAUAUCGAAUAUGGUGUGACUUAGACCCAAGUCAUUUUUGGACGUGUAAUGACCCCCAGGGUCAUGUUGAGAUCAGAGAUAUUCAACUCACAGUCGAGGAAUUCACAACAUGCCGUGAUUAUAGGGUGAGAAAAGAACAGUACUACUAUGACAAACGAUUUGCACAUGGGAAAGAUGGAAUGAAGGGAGCAAUAAAGAGACUGUUUCAUAUAUAAGUCAAGCAGAGUUUGAACAGUAACAGGCUGGUGUAGAAACAGUGGAUGGUGUUUAUUUCAUAAGUAUUGACCGUAUUGACAUUGUUCUUGAUAUUGUCAUUCAAAAGGAAUUAAAAAAUACUUAUAUUU
rnacentral:misc_RNA from 1 species